AGGAUGAACGCUGGCGGCGUGCUUAACACAUGCAAGUCGAACGGUGAAAGAGAGCUUGCUCUCUGGAUCAGUGGCGAACGGGUGAGUAACACGUGAGUAACCUGCCCUUGACUCUGGGAUAAGCACUGGAAACGGUGUCUAAUACCGGAUACGACUUCCGAAGGCAUCUUCUGGAAGUGGAAAGAAUUUCGGUCAAGGAUGGACUCGCGGCCUAUCAGCUAGUUGGUGAGGUAGCGGCCCACCAAGGCGACGACGGGUA
rnacentral:rRNA from 1 species